rnacentral:rRNA from 1 species
CUACGGGGGGCAGCAGUGAGGAAUAUUGCACAAUGGGGGGAACCCUGAUGCAGCAACGCCGCGUGGAGGAUGACGCAUUUCGGUGUGUAAACUCCUUUUAUAUGUCAAGAAAAUGACGGUAGCAUAUGAAUAAGCACCGGCUAACUCCGUGCCAGCAGCCGCGGUAAUACGGAGGGUGCAAGCGUUACUCGGAAUCACUGGGCGUGAAAGGAGGCGUAGGCGGGUUGGAAAGUCAGGUGUGAAAUCCUACAGCUUAACUGUAGAACUGCACUUGAAACUUCUAAUCUAGAGUAUGGGAGGGGGAGAUGGAAUUAGUGGUGUAGGGGUAAAAUCCGUAGAUAUCACUAGGAAUACCUAAAGCGAAGGCGAUCUCCUGGAACAUUACUGACGCUAAGGCGUGAAAGCGUGGGGAGCAAACAGGAUUAGAUACCCCGGUAGUC